rnacentral:tRNA from 1 species
GCUGGCGUAGCUCAGAUGGUAGAGCGUUUGAUUUGUAAUCAAAAUGUCACGGGUUCGAUUCCUGUCGCCAGCUCCA